UAUAAAAUACUGGGUUUUCUCUCUGAUUUGACAUAUUGUAAAGAUAUUUAACGGACCUAUAUGGCUAUAAAGGAAUAGUUUAUCCAAUGGGUGAAAUACAUCAAACGUAUGAGAUAAAAGGGUAUUAAAUGGUAUAGAUUUUUUUAUAGGACUUAAUUGGAUAUAUACAUGUACGUUGACUUGGUUGAAAUGUAAUUCUACACAUUCGAUCACCACCCCUCAACCCAACCAAACUUGAUCGUUGGUGAAUGUAAUGGACUUAACUGAGUGAAUUAUACUUUCAAAAAAGCAAUGGUAACUUUGCCUUAUGGGUAAUUGGUAUCAAUAUGGCGACUACAUAGAAAAAUUAUUUUUCGAACGCAUCAAGUGAUGUCAAGUAUCAAAGGCUCCGAUCCCCGACAAAGGACCGACAUUUAACAAAGAAAACACCAACCUAGUGGAUCUGAAUGAUAUUUGUUUAAGCUUUCAUUCAGACAUGUAAAUUGUUCACAAUUCAGUAUUAUACGUUUAUUGGAACUCCAUUCUCGUCUUUACGUCCACAGAAACCAAUGCACCAAAAGUAUCAGUGUAUCAAAUUGUAAUUUUUCAAUUUACUGGUAAAUACAGAAGCACCAACCCAAUAAAUUAAAAAAGACGACAAGUCAAUGUGAUAGUAUGCCCAUUUUCUCUUCCGUUUUUUUAUCAUAUAAAUAUAUUUUUUGCAGCAUAUGUAUGAUGGGAUACAACUUCAAGCAAAUAUAAAUUUCAGGUUGCAUUCAUUUGUAUAUAAAUCAAAUCAAUGUUAAUAUAAAUUCAAUUUUUGUAAUGGUCUUGUAUCAUUACAGCCUCUCUGGUCCCUGUAAAACUAAAAAAAAAAUUGAAGCUAUAAAGAAAAACCUAAAUUUUCUUAUACCUUACAAAAGAGAUCAUGUUCCUUUUCAAAUCCACAUGAUAUACAUGUACAGUCAUACCAUGACAAGUGAUACAAUUUCUCAGUUUUACUCAAAUUAAAAAUGUUUAAUGUUUUGUGAACGGUUUUCCUAUACAAAACAUAUAGCUCAGUUAUAAACAAGCAUUUGUUUUACCACUCAUGGAUAAAUCUAUAGCAUAAAUACUAAUUUUGUCCAAGCCUACUCUCGAUGCUUUCAAGAAGAAAAACGAAAAAUUGUGUGGAAAAUACCCAAUUUAAGUCAAAAUACCGAAAAUGAUGUCAAAGUGCCAUAUUUAUGAAUUUUACUUUAUUUUGAUCAACUGUAUUGCAUCAGAAUUCUUGCACAAAUAGAAAUACUUUGAAACAAAGCACGAAAUAAGAUUUUGAUGGGCAAAUAGGACAUUCUAUCAUGUAUCAUCCUUUACAUUUCUUUGGAGGUAGCACAAAAAUAUACAAAGUAUUAUUAGAAAACAAUCAAUAUGGAGUGUAAACCUUAACAAUGCAUGCAUUCUUUCAUUCUCCCGGCGAAACACAUAUGGUAUUGUGGCUCGCUGUACCAGAAGCUUGUAAUAUAUUGGAUGGAUUUUUUACCCAAUCAAAUAUUAAACCAAACAUACAAUCGAUCCGUUAUUUUAUUUAUGCACAAGAUCUGAAUAAUUUGCACACUGUACCCAUGUUUUAUCUUCCUGAUUAAGAAGAAGUGUAUAACCUUCCAAACGGAAAUUUUCUCCUAAGGAGAGCUUUGUUCAGCAGUCCAUGAAAACUUCCGUUGUCAUUAGUUGACGCAACAUCUCGCUCUGCGAGAUAACGUUCCUCUCGAUGACUCGCUUGUCUUGUACUUGCGAGGUGGCCUUUGAAGAUAUUUCAAAAGACUAUCUCUUCUUUCAGCUUGUCUUGGAAACAGGACAUAAGAGAAAAUAUUUAUAGGAACAUAGUGUCAAUUCUUCCAAAAGAAGAGGGUCCAUACAUACAUAUGCUGUGCACAUUGGGGUGAUAAACUUAAGUCUUUCGCAGAAUAGGGAUAUCUUCUUAGAAAAUAUUCACUUCAUUACAUUCAAAAGUGCAGAUUUUGCAUCAUCACUAAAUGCACUUACAUGGCUUGCAAAGUAGCUUUGUUGUACUAUCCAAGUAUAGUAUCUUUUUCCGCCGUUCCAUCUGUUGAUAAAUAUAUUACCGGUACACCGUGUACCAUACGAUACUUACACGCAUUAAAUGAAUAUUUUUGAUAUCUGUAGGUAUUCAACAGUGUGCAGACAAAUACAAUAACUCGCGUAAAUACGUCUUAUCAGCACUAUAUAUACUAAAAAUGAAAGGAAUAAACAUAUCUACAUUAGAUUUAUAUUUGAUUUUUUGAAAAUAUCAUGAUGACAACUCUCCUUGCUUGCAGGUCAUCAAACUGUAACAACAACGGAAUAUAGACGUGGCUGCUUGUGAUGUCGACGUUAUUCCUUAGUGUGGUAUUGUAAUAUGUAUUCAGCAACACUAAAAUGGAGUUCGUUUUAGAGGCAAGAGGCUCGUGGGCCACACCGCACACACGAAUCACUCUGCGCCUACAGAGAUACUCAUACUUUGAACCCCUAUUGUUGUCCCAACGUUACUCUUAAUCUUGGGUCAGGGUGUGAACUUGAAUCUACAUUACAUCUGGAUGAUUGCAUGUUAUACAGACAAUCUCUGUCCCUUGUGGUUCUAAUUCCCCUGUACCAUGUAUUUCCAAUGUAAAUCUAAUAAAUUUUAAUCUUUA